UGAAAAGGGUUCACAUGGCUUAAGCGC
rnacentral:piRNA from 1 species